AUUGAACGCUGGCGGCAGGCUUAACACAUGCAAGUCGAGCGGGGAAAGGUAGCUUGCUACCUGACCUAGCGGCGGACGGGUGAGUAAUGCUUAGGAAUCUGCCUAUUAGUGGGGGACAACAUUCCGAAAGGAAUGCUAAUACCGCAUACGCCCUACGGGGGAAAGCAGGGGAUCUUCGGACCUUGCGCUAAUAGAUGAGCCUAAGUCAGAUUAGCUAGUUGGUGGGGUAAAGGCCUACCAAGGCGACGAUCUGUAGCGGGUCUGAGAGGAUGAUCCGCCACACUGGGACUGAGACACGGCCCAGACUCCUACGGGAGGCAGCAGUGGGGAAUAUUGGACAAUGGGCGAAAGCCUGAUCCAGCCAUGCCGCGUGUGUGAAGAAGGCCUUUUGGUUGUAAAGCACUUUAAGCGAGGAGGAGGCUACUUGGAUUAAUACUCUAGGAUAGUGGACGUUACUCGCAGAAUAAGCACCGGCUAACUCUGUGCCAGCAGCCGCCGUAAUAC
rnacentral:rRNA from 1 species